GUUUCAUAAAACAACCCUCAGUAAUGUGUGUGAUGGGCGUUUUGAAAAGAUGUCAUGAUACUGGGAAAUAGAAACAAAAUACUAUUAGUCGACGCAUCACAAGCUUGGAGGAGCAGGGCGCAUUCUAGAAGCGUCACGUAUCAGUGACAGUGACCAACCAUCAUUCAUGCGGUGCGGGUGUUACCCGUGAAGUUUUCUUAACCUAGUGACGCGGGACAGCCUCGUGAGUGGACAUUGUUUUGUAUAAGUGUUGUGUGCCUGCGGGACGCGAAGGCCAGGCAGGAGCAGUCUGCUGCAGGCUGAAUGAGACCUGGCGGAGAGCGGGCGUGGCAGGUGCGUGGCCUGAAUUACGAGUAAUGCUGCAUGAUCAUCUCACGGGAAAAGAUUGCUCUCAUGUGACUCCAGGCAGCGAUAUCGCCACAGCAACCACCACCACCAUCACAAUCACCACUGCCUCGUCAUCAUCAUCGUCAUCAUUAUCUGGACUCGUUUCUACAUCUCAUAAAAGGUAUAAGAAUCUCUCUCUCUCUCUCUCUCUCUCUCUCUCUCUCUCUCUCUCUCUCUCUCUCUCUCUCUCUCUCUCUCUCUCUCAGGAACAAUAGCAACAUCAAUUAGCCUCCUACCCCUCCUCCCCAUUCCCCUUGUCUCUCUUGCCCCUCUUUCCCCCAUCCCCCCCUUUGAAUUUUUCGACACUGUCCUUCCCCACUACACGGCAUCUUAAUACCUUUCUUCCCUGUGCACCUAUCCCCUUUAAGCCCUUCUUACCCUCCUGGCCUUCGCCCCUCUGCACGCCAAACACCUAACGAACGAACGCCUUGCCUCCACGCUUUAUAACUUGACAAUCUCUCUCUCUCUCUCCCUCUCUCUCUCUCUCUCUCUCUCUCUCUCUC